GCCUCUCAUCAUCGCUGCGGGACGCCUCAGCUCCGGAGGGGCCCGCGGGUGCCCAUGGCUUUCACGGCCCUUCAGCAUUAGCUGUCCUCGGCAGUGGCACCAGAUGUGGGCGGCCGUGAGGGGUCAGCCGCUCGGAUCUCCAGUCUCCUCCCUGCUGGUUCUCAGCACCGCCGCCUCGGCUUUCAACGGUUCCAUCUUCCUUUAACCUCGGUCCCCAGUUCUGUCUUUCUCUCUGAUAGAGGAGCAGAAGCAUCUGCAAAAUGCUUCUGUUUUCAGACACUAAGCAGUCCAACAACAUGGAAAGAAGUCAGGCCCCUCUUGGGGUCUCACCACACUCUGGAUACUUUCCUAGCAUGGAGUGUGUGCUCAGUCUCUCCAUCACGUCUCCGUGGACUGUAUCCACCAGUCUCCAUCUCGACUCUUUGCGGCUCCGUGGACUGUAUCCACCAGUCUCCUCUGUCCAUGAGAUUCUCCAGGCAAGACUACUGGAGACUUUACUGGCACACCAGGGGACACUGUUUGGGUCAGCAGUGAAAAGAAGUAAUAUCAACAAUGUGAAGAGUCAUCACGCAGCUAUCAAAAUGUGAAACAUGCAAAAAUUCCAUCUCAACUGCCCAAGUCCA